GGCGAGUCGUGGCGACUGGCGAGCCCAAGUGGUCUGGACGGCUAGGUGCCUAUGCGCUCGCCUAGGCGACAAUUAGACGGUGAAAACAUAUAAUCGCACUUUUGACUAGGAAUUCAACAUAUGUCGUCACAUUGUAAGAGAUAAUAUUGUUGGCUGUAUCCAAUAGUUGAUACAAAUGAAUUUUAACACCAUACAUUCCUUUACCAUCAUUCAUAUUGUCACUGUGAAGGGCAUAGGCCAGCAGGCUUA
rnacentral:lncRNA from 1 species